rnacentral:lncRNA from 1 species
UAGUGAAAGCAACUAUGGGUUAACCAAUUUUUGAUCAAUUGAUUAAUUGGUGUCUAGAAAAGUGCUAAAGGUGGUUCUUUAAUUGGUUCUGUUGACUGAUCUGAUCAAUUUAUUGGUGUCUAAGGAAAGCAACGGGGGCCUCCACCUACUUAUCUGGCCAAUUUGAUUGAGCGAUCUUGAAACUAAAAAAAUGCUAAUGUUGAAAAUACUACUAGGGGC